GUGCUCGCUUUGGCAGCAUGUAUACUAAAAUUAAAACGAUACAGAGAUUAGCAUGGCCUCUGCACAAGGAUGAUAAGCAAAUUCGUGAAGCCUUCCAUAUUAAA